GCCCGGUUAGCUCAGUCGGUAGCAGCGUGCGGCUUUUAUCGUCUUUCUUGGUCGGUCACCGCAAUGUCGGGGGUUCGAGCCCCCCAUCGGGCG
rnacentral:tRNA from 1 species